rnacentral:rRNA from 1 species
UGCUGACGAGCGGCGGACGGGUGAGUAAUGCAUAGGAAUCUGCCCGGUAGUGGGGGAUAACCUGGGGAAACCCAGGCUAAUACCGCAUACGUCCUACGGGAGAAAGGGGGCUUUGGCUCCCGCUAUUGGAUGAGCCUAUGUCGGAUUAGCUAGUUGGUGAGGUAAUGGCUCACCAAGGCAACGAUCCGUAGCUGGUCUGAGAGGAUGAUCAGCCACAUCGGGACUGAGACACGGCCCGAACUCCUACGGGAGGCAGCAGUGGGGAAUAUUGGACAAUGGGGGCAACCCUGAUCCAGCCAUGCCGCGUGUGUGAAGAAGGCCCUCGGGUUGUAAAGCACUUUCAGCGAGGAAGAACGCCUGGCGGUUAAUACCCGCCAGGAAAGACAUCACUCGCAGAAGAAGCACCGGCUAACUCCGUGCCAGCAGCCGCGGUAAUACGGAGGGUGCAAGCGUUAAUCGGAAUUACUGGGCGUAAAGCGCGCGUAGGUGGCUUGAUAAGCCGGUUGUGAAAGCCCCGGGCUCAACCUGGGAACGGCAUCCGGAACUGUCAGGCUAGAGUGCAGGAGAGGAAGGUAGAAUUCCCGGUGUAGCGGUGAAAUGCGUAGAGAUCGGGAGGAAUACCAGUGGCGAAGGCGGCCUUCUGGACUGACACUGA